ACAAAGGAGGUAGAGUGCACAGAGAAUGCAAUAAACAUUAGUUUCAGUUGUGGUCUUGUCACAUAAUACUCGUAUAUAUACAGUACAGUGAAAUUUUUAAAUUAAAAAUAUAAAUGAUGAGAUAGUGACAUUAUGAACAGGCUCAGGGUUAAUCCACAAUGCCAGUUUUUCCAAACCCUUAUCACUAACAAAUAUGUUUGGACUAUUGGGUUUCCAGUAAAGUUUGGUAUGAAUGAUGUUGUGUAAGGGAUAAAUAGGUCAAUGACAGGCAGUAAAAAAGAUUACUAUAGUGUAUUUCAGCAAUUAUAGAUAAAUGGGAGAUCAAACAAGUGUCAGGUUUAGGGCGAUAGAAAAUAAUUUAUUUUCCAGGGCAGUUUUGCCAUUUGUAAGAGAGUGAAACAAAGCACACAUUUUUCCACCCUUUAAAAUUCAUUAGCAGAGGAUGUCCUCUCCAGUGCACUCAUAGGAGGGGGCACAUGCAUGCAGCUGCUCACACUGAACAUUCCCAUCUCACCACAUAAAAAAACAUGGGGGGGGGGGGGGGGCGGUGAAAGAAGAAAAACAAAAA